GCCUGGGUGGCUCAGUCGGUUGAGCGUCUGACUUCAGCUCAGGCCAUGAUCUCACAGUUCGUGGGUUUGAGCCCCGCAUCGGGGU
rnacentral:tRNA from 1 species